UACGUAGGGUGCGAGCGUUUAAUCGGAAUUACUGGGCGUAAAAGCGUGCGCAGGCGGCGCGUUAAGACAGGUGUGAAAGCCCCGAGCUUAACUUGGGAAUUGCGCUUGUGACUGGCGGGCUGGAGUGUGGCAGAGGGAGGUGGAAUUCCACGUGUAGCAGUGAAAUGCGUAGAGAUGUGGAGGAACACCGAUGGCGAAGGCAGCCCCCCUGGGCUGACACUGACGCUCAGGCACGAAAGCGUGGGUAGCAAACAGG
rnacentral:rRNA from 1 species